CAAUAGCGUAUAUUGAAGUUGUUGCAGUUAAAAAGCUCGUAGUUGGAUUUCUGGUAGGAGCGACCGUGCCGAACUUGAUUGUUCGUGUAUUGUGUUGUCUUCAGCCAUCCUCGUGGAGAACUUUUCGGGCAUUAAUUUGUCGGGAUUGGGACCCGCGUCGUUUACUGUGAAAAAAUUAGAGUGUUUAAAGCAGGCAAUCGCUUGAAUACAUUAGCAUGGAAUAAUAAGAUAGGACUUUGGUACUAUUUUGUUGGUUUGCAUACCAAAUUAAUGAUCAACAGGAACAGUUUGAGGAUAUUCGUAUGAACAUGUCAGAGGUGAAAUUCUUGGAUUUUGAUCAGACGAACUACUGCGAAAGCAUUUAUCAAGGAUGUUUUCAUUAA
rnacentral:rRNA from 1 species